rnacentral:rRNA from 1 species
UACGGGGGGUGCGAGCGUUGUCCGGAAUCACUGGGCGUAAAGGGCGCGUAGGUGGUUUGAUAAGGGUGUGGUGAAAGCCCGGGGCUCAACCCCCGGGUCUGCCGUGCCGACUGUCAAACUCGAGGGCUGUAGAGGCAGACGGAAUUCCGGGUGUAGCGGUGGAAUGCGUAGAGAUCCGGAGGAAGACCGGUGGCGAAGGCGGUCUGCUGGGCAGUUCUGCACUGAUGCGCGACAGCGUGGGGAGCAACAGG